rnacentral:rRNA from 1 species
CCCUUAGAGUUUGAUCCUGGCUCAGGAUGAACGCUAGCUACAGGCUUAACACAUGCAAGUCGAGGGGCAGCAUGGUCUUAGCUUGCUAAGNCCGAUGGCGACCGGCGCACGGGUGAGUAACACGUAUCCAACCUGCCGUCUACUCUUGGACAGCCUUCUGAAAGGAAGAUUAAUACAAGAUGGCAUCAUGAGUUCACAUGUUCACAUGAUUAAAGGUAUCCCGGUAGACGAUGGGGAUGCGUUCCAUUAGAUAGUAGGCGGGGUAACGGCCCACCUAGUCUUCGAUGGAUAGGGGUUCUGAGAGGAAGGUCCCCCACAUUGGAACUGAGACACGGUCCAAACUCCUACGGGAGGCAGCAGUGAGGAAUAUUGGUCAAUGGGCGAGAGCCUGAACCAGCCAAGUAGCGUGAAGGAUGACUGCCCUAUGGGUUGUAAACUUCUUUUAUAAAGGAAUAAAGUCGGGUAUGUAUACCCGGAGCAUGUACUUAGAAUAAGGAUGGUAC